rnacentral:SRP_RNA from 1 species
GCCGGGCGCGGUGGCUCAUGCCUGUAAUCCCAGCACUUUGGGAGGCCGAGGCGGGCGGAUCACCUGAGGUCAGGAGUUCAAGACCAGCCUGGCCAACAUGGUGAAACCCCGCCUCUA